rnacentral:tRNA from 1 species
GGGCCCAUAGCUUAGCCUGGCUAUAGCACUGGUCUUAUAAGCCAGAGGUCGCCGGUUCAAAUCCGGUUGGGCCCA